rnacentral:tRNA from 1 species
GAGGCGGUAGCUCAGUUGGUAGAGCCCCGGGUUGUGGUCCCGGUGGUCGUGGGUUCGAGCCCCAUUCGCCUCC